rnacentral:rRNA from 1 species
UCGCAUUUCACUGGGCCAGCAUCAGUUUUGGUGGCAGGAUAAAUCCAUAGGAAUGUAGCUUGCCUCGGUAAGUAUUAUAGCCUGUGGGAAUACUGCCAGCUGGGACUGAGGACUGCGACGUAAGUCAAGGAUGCUGGCAUAAUGGUUAUAUGCCGCCCGUCUUGAAACACGGACCAAGGAGUCUAUCCUGUAUGCAAGUUGUAUGGUGUAAAACCAAUAAGCGUAAUGAAAGUAAGAGGUGUGAAAGUUGUAAAAGUGUCAACACCUGCCGAUCUAAAUUCUUUGAUGAAAGAUUCGAGUAUGAGCAUAUAGGGUGGGACCCGAAAGAUGGUGAACUAUGCCUGAAUAGGACGAAGCCAGGGGAAACUCUGGUGGAGGUUCGAGUGGAUUCUAACGUGCAAAUUGAUCUUUAAAUUUGGGUAUAGGGGCGAAAGACUAAUCGAACCAUCUAGUAGCUGGUUCAUUCCGAAAUUUCCCUCAGGAUAGCUGCAACUUAUGAAAUAGUUUUAUGAGGUAAAGCGAAUGAUUAGAGGUUUCUGGGAUGGAAUAUCCUGGACCUAUUCUCAAACUUUCAAUGGGUAAGAAAAGUGUGAUGUUUAAUUAAUCAUACUAUUUGAAUAUGAGUUGCAAGUGGGCCAUUCCGGGUAAGCUGGACUGGCAAUGCGGGAUCAACCGAACGCUAUGUUACGGCGCCAGAUUGUUCGCUCAGUUGGAUGUAAAAGGUGUUAGUUCAUCUAGACAGCAGGACGGUGGCCAUGGAAGUCGGAAUCCGCUAAGGAGUGUGUAACAACUCACCUGCCGAAUGAAGUAGCCCUGAAAAUGGAUGGCGCUUAAGCGAACAGCCUAUACAUAGCCAUUAUUGUUAGGAUUAUACAAUAAUGAGUAGGAAUGCGUGAUGAAUGUUGUGAAGUAUGAUGUGUGAACAUGUAUGGAACAUUCAUUAGUGCAGAUCUUGGUGGAAGUAGCAAAUAUUCAAAUGAGAUCUUUGAAGACUGAAGUGGAGAAAGGUUCCAUAGGAAUAGUGAUUAUCUAUGGGUUAGUCGAUCCUAAGAGAUAGGUGAAAUCCAUUGAAAAGUCAAUUUCGAUUGACAUUUAUCGAAAGGGAAUCAGGUUAAUAUUCCUGAACCAAAGAGAAGGGUAAACGGUAACGUAUAGGGGUCUCAAGACAUUGAUGUUAUUCCCAGGAAGAGUUUUCUUUUCUUGUUAACAAAUGGGCAGUGCUUGGAAUCGAUUCAGUCGGCGAUAAGCAUUGUUAUUUGGUAAAGUACUACUAUUUUGUGUAGUAUCUGGUGCAAUGACAUGAAUCCUUGAAAAUUGAGACUUUUGUUUUCCCGAAGCUUUGGUCGUACUAAUAACCGCAUCAGGUCUCCAAGGUGAAUAGCCUCUAGUUAAUAGAAUAAUGUAGAUAAGGGAAGUCGGCAAAUUAGAUCCGUAACUUCGGGAUAAGGAUUGGCUCUGAGGGCUAAGUGGGUUUAAGGUGUUAAUAGUAUAAGUUUGAUAUGGGAUUGAGUGUUUUGAGUUGCUUCGGUGAUUUGAAAUAUUUGGUUCUAAUGUCUUAGUUGUCUAUUUUCAUCUACCACUAUGAAUAGCUAACUCAGAACUGGUACGGACAAGGGGAAUCCGACUGUUUAAUUAAAACAAAGCAUUGUGAUGGUGUGAAAGAUAUGUUGACACAAUGUGAAUUCUGCCCAGUGCUCUGAAUGUGAAAGUGGCGUAAUUCAAGCAAGCGCGGGUAAACGGCGGGAGUAACUAUGACUCUCUUAAGGUAGCCAAAUGCCUCGUCAUCUAAUUAGUGACGCGCAUGAAUGGAUUAAUGAGAUUCCCACUGUCCCUAUCUACUAUCUAGCGAAACCACAGCCAAGGGAACGGGCUUGGAAAUAUCAGCGGGGAAAGAAGACCCUGUUGAGCUUGACUCUAGUUUAACAUUGUGAAAUGACUUUAGAGGUGUAGCAUAGGUGGGAGGAGGUAACUCCGAUCCUGAAAUACCACUACUCUGAAUGUUGUUUUACUUAUUCCAUGAAAGAGGAUACUUACUUAAUUGUAAGUGUUAUGAUGUAAACUUUGGUGACCUCUUUGGGAGACAUUGUUAGGUGGGGAGUUCGGCUGGGGCGGCACAUCUGUUAAAGAAUAACACAGGUGUCCUAAGAUGAGCUCAAUAAGAACAGAAAUCUUAUGUAGAACAAAAGGGUAAAAGCUCAUUUGAUUUUGCUUUUCAGUAUGAAUACAAACUAUAAAAGUAUGGCCUAUCGAUCCUUUACAUAAAGGGAGAUCCUUGGUAGAGGUGUCAGAAAAGUUACCACAGGGAUAACUGGCUUGUGGCAGCCAAGCGUUCAUAGCGACGUUGCUUUUUGAUUCUUCGAUGUCGGCUCUUCCUAUCAUUGCGAAGCAGAAUUCGCCAAGUGUUGGAUUGUUCACCCAUUAAUAGGGAACGUGAGCUGGGUUUAGACCGUCGUGAGACAGGUUAGUUUUACCCUACUGAUGAAGUAAUUGUCGUAACAGUAAUCUAACUUAGUACGAGAGGAACCGUUAGUUCAGAUAAUUGGUAAAUCCAUUUAACUGAUAAGUUAGUGAUGGGAAGCUAUCAUCUGUGGGAUUAUGACUGAACGCCUCUAAGUCAGAAUCCUUGCUGAAAUGAAACGACGAUUCUCUUAAUAAGAGGAACAAUUUGU